rnacentral:rRNA from 1 species
UACGGAGGGCGCUAGCGUUAUUCGGAAUUACUGGGCGUAAAGCGCACGUAGGCGGCUUUGUAAGUCAGAGGUGAAAGCCUGGAGCUCAACUCCAGAAUUGCCUUUUAGACUGCAUCGCUUGAAUCAUGGAGAGGUGAGUGGAAUUCCGAGUGUAGAGGUGAAAUUCGUAGAUAUUCGGAAGAACACCAGUGGCGAAGGCGGCUCACUGGACAUGUAUUGACGCUGAGGUGCGAAAGCGUGGGGAGCAAACAGG